UUUUACCAAAUAUAACUGUCUUGGUAAGUAAUUAAUGGAGCAUUAAUUCUAAGAUGUGUCGUUUUAUCUGCAUGAAGAAAACAGUGGUGGCAAUUAAAUGAAGAUGCGCAGCAGGGUUUGUGCAGUGAUCAAUGGAAGAAAGGUGCAUCGGAGUGAGAAUCAGAGACUCUACUGUCAGCAUUGGGACGGGAACCCAAAGAGCGGCACUCACAGCUUUCCCCUGUGUUCUCCUUAUGCCAAAGGUGAUGGAAAAGAGAACAGAAGCCCGGAAACUGACUUCGUCACACAGAAAGGCUUCAGGACCCCGGGCAGCAGUGUGAAACAAAGAUCGCCCCGUCAGGAUGGAGCCUCUGUGAGCCCCGACUUCACCGUGGAUGGGAACCUCUUCGAGUCCAGGUGGUCAUCUCGAGAGACUGGGAAGGGGCGAUGGCGAAUCACUGAGGUUCUGGACUUCUUUCACCCUGGAGCUCCUAGCUCUCUGCACACAGCACCUAGCAAGGUGCCCUCACAGAUGGCAGCCUCCUCUCUUGGUUCGUAUUCCUGGUGAAAAAGCUGGAAAAGUAGACACACCGAGGAGCUAGGAUGGCUUGGAGAGGGUAGAUGGGAAAGUACCAGCAGACAGUCAUGUGGGGAGAGUGGAGGGAGGACUAGAGGAAUGGCUUUGAACCUGACAGGCUUUGGUGAUUCCUGGUGGAAUUGCCUGCUCAUGAGUUUUCAGGCACAGUUUUGUCCUUAGGGUUCCAUGAGUGAGGAGUCCAUGUUGACUCAGUGCCUCUUUUCUUCCCUGCUCUUUCGGCAGAUUUGAGGUUAGAAACACGUCUCGUGCCAUAUGUCAGUUACAGGACCAACAUUCCAUUUGUUUAAUGCAUAUUUCCAUUCCUGGAGUGACUAUCAGUAGUGCGUGCAAUGUGUAGAGCUGGAACCCAGGAGUGAAAAACACAUGUGAGUUUCUUCCCCCUAAAGGUUAUAUUCUAAUAAGGGACGAUGGUGAUGUCAUCAUCAUUACGUAAGUGGUGGUGAGUCACCAGUGCUGAGUGAGGCGCCCCAGGGAGCAGUGUGAGACGGGAUGGACAGUGAGGUCCUUCUGAGGAUGGACACUGGGAGCGAGGGCUGGGGUCAGGAAUGAGCCAGCCACAGGAAGAGUUGUAGGAUGAGCAUUCCACGGCCAACACAAAACCCUGGAGAGGGGCCAGCCUGACAGGUCCCAGGAGUGGAAAGAGGGUCAGUGGUCAGAAAGCCAGGGAACAGAAGCAAGGUAGAGAGAAAGGCCUGAGUGUAGGAGAGAGUGAGGACUCAGGCCGGGGCCCAGGGCGAGAAGGACUCUGUAUCUGUGGGAGCAGCUGGGGCUUGACUCUGGGUCUCAUCAGAACUCAGUAAACGGCUGUCAAAUGUAGGUUUAUGAGGGCAGUUGGCGAAGGUCCUUGUGGUGCUAGGCGUAGGAGGGGCUGAAGGGCUCUGUAGGAUGAGCAGAGACUCAAAUCCAGGAGCUGGAUUUGUGAGUGUGAUGGUUUGAAAGGGCUGGCCAGUGAGCCCGGCGAGACGCGAUUGGGGAUGAACAGGCCCCGCCGCAGAAUGCAGGGUGGACCACGAGGGAUUUCGCAGGCGGCCGUAGCUGUAGCUGCUGGCAGAGACUCAUAGAGAGGGAGCCGUCGGCAAGCGUGGGAAGAGAAUGUCAGCAAGCGACUCGCCUGAGGUGGGCUUCGAGGUGUGAGCCACCGGAAGGCUGAGGUGGAGUCCGCUGAAGACGCGUGUGGCCCUCUCUUUCCUUCAGACUCUGUCGGCUUCAGCUGCCCCUGUGCAGCCGGCAGCAGGUCAGUUAUACAAAUUCAUCGCCGCCGGGGUUACCCAGCGAUUACUGUGUGUCAGACCUGCCACACGGCCAAGUCCUUGCGUCAGAACGAGGGAGUGGGUCCACUGUGGAUCCCCUUUUCCUGGUUGUAGAAGCUGAGAAGCGGAAGGGUGAGAAAUGUCAGUUCCUCCUGUACACAAUGACAGAAGAAAGAACCAAGUUCAUUCACAUUGUGUCCCUGUACUCUCAGUUUUACAGCUGUGUUUGGCCCCAAACUCUCCAAACACAUUUCCGGAGGGAACCUAGUAGGUGCUGUGUCUUUGCAAGAGGUAUUGUUUUGAGGGAGGGGUCAGUUCUUCUUUUAAAGCUUGGGAAGUACAGUGGGCAGUCAAAGAGGCCCCCGCUAUCUCAUGCGAACUAGAAAGUGAUGAGUAGCGCUCAGGAGGGCGAGACCAAAGGUUUUAGGGUCCCAAGAAGGCAGGGAGUUUUUCCUGCCUGAGCAGAGAAUGUGUCCAGGAGGAGCCAACAGUGAGCAAGGCCGGGCCUGGUGACGGCAUCCAGAUGCCUGAUGGGGCAGCCAGGACCACAGAGCAGCAGACAUUGUCUAGGUGUGGCCUGUGUGAAGUCAAAACUGUUUUCCUAUCACCUUUUCCUCUCUCAUUCCCCCCGAGUGAACCUUUGAAAGUUCCAGAGGCGAUGUGACUCGGGGUACUGCAACGCACCGGGUCAGAAGCAGCUGUGAGAAUCCAGCUCUCUUUAGUGAAGCCACAUAUUAAAGAGAUUUGCAAAAAAACCCCACAAAAAACCCA
rnacentral:lncRNA from 1 species